GAUGAACGCUGGCGGCGUGCCUAAUACAUGCAAGUCGAGCGAACAGACGAGGAGCUUGCUCCUUUGACGUUAGCGGCGGACGGGUGAGUAACACGUGGGUAACCUACCUAUAAGACUGGGAUAACUUCGGGAAACCGGAGCUAAUACCGGAUAAUAUUUCGAACCGCAUGGUUCGAUAGUGAAAGAUGGCUUUGCUAUCACUUAUAGAUGGACCUGCGCCGUAUUAGCUAGUUGGUAAGGUAACGGCUUACCAAGGCAACGAUACGUAGCCGACCUGAGAGGGUGAUCGGCCACACUGGAACUGAGACACGGUCCAGACUCCUACGGGAGGCAGCAGUAGGGAAUCUUCCGCAAUGGGCGAAAGCCUGACGGAGCAACGCCGCGUGAGUGAUGAAGGUCUUCGGAUCGUAAAACUCUGUUAUUAGGGAAGAACAAACGUGUAAGUAACUGUGCACGUCUUGACGGUACCUAAUCAGAAAGCCACGGCUAACUACGUA
rnacentral:rRNA from 1 species